UCUGAGGGACACUUUCUCUGGAACCACCACUUCCGGAACGUGAUUCGCUCUGCGGCGGCGUGCUCGUGACGUCAUCGCGCCGGCCCCGCCCCUCGCCUCCGCGCCAGGCUUAGUUCCACCCACUCAAACAUAGCUAGACUACUCCAAAGAGUGCUUCUUGAAUAUCCUCCUGACAUGGCAGCUGGCUUCUCCCAAAGCAAGAGAUCAACAGGAAACAAGGCAAGAAGCCAAAAAUCUUUUACAAUAUAUCCUCCGAGAUCACAUACCAUCAUUUCCACAGGAAUAUCCUAUUGGUUUUACAGAUCGGUCCUACUCCAUAUGUGGAAAGAUUAUAUGAAAGGAUGAAGGAGAUGGGAAUAGUUGGAGCCAUCCUGGAGGCCUUCUUGGAGACUGGCUGCUGCGCACUGUGUGAUCAGCUUAGAUACCAUUUCCCCCUCCACUCACCCCCUCCCUUCUCACAUUCAUGCUGAAUGUCAGCCCCUUUGUAAAGCGUUCCCAAUUGAUCCCUCACUUCUUUCUCUGUGUUUACACAGAACUCUGUUUCACUUCCACAGGCAUCUGCUGCCCUGUUUCCCUACUGUUGUCUGAGUCCCAGAGAAAGACCCUGAGACUGAGCAUUUUGGCAGUCUACACCAAUCUCUACCAAAUAUUCUUGGCAUAACACAUACUCUGGCUGUUUAAAAAAUUACUGAAUAAAACAAAACAAAAAGUGUGGACAAGGAUGUAGAGAAUUUGGAAACUGUGCAUUGUUGGUGGAACUGUAAAAUGGUGCAAUAUACUGCUUACUCCAAAAAAAAAUGACAAUAGGAUUACCAUAUAAUCUAGAAAUUCCACUUUUGGGUAUUUUACCUAAAAGAAUUGACAGCAGAGUCUCAAAGAGAAUUUGCAUGCCCAUGUUCAUAGCAGCAUUUUUUACACCAAAAGUAGAAGCAAAUCAAGGCUCCAUUGACAGAUGAGUGGAUAAAAAAAUGCAGCAUAUGCAUAGUGUGGGAUGUUUGUCAAGUUUAAAAGCAAAGGAAACAUUGGCCAGUACUACAUCUGAUUGAACCUGAAGGACAUCAUGAUAAGUGAAAUAAGCCAGCCACAAAAGGACAAAUACUAUAUGAUUCCAUUCACAUGAAGUAUCUAGAUAGUGCAGUUCACAGAGACAGAAAGUCAAAUAGUGGUUGUCAGACAGAGCCUAGAGGAAGAGGGAAUGAAGUUAUCAUUUCAAGAACUCAGAAUUUCAGUUGUUGUUUGUUUUGGCUGUUUGUUUUUAUACCAGGAAUCAAACUCAGGGCCUUACAUUUGCCAGACAGGCGCUGUGUCACUGAGCUACAUCCCCAGGCACAGACUUUCAAAAUAAGUUUUGCAAAAUGAGAAAAGUUCUAGAGACGAAUGGUGAUUAAUGGCUUCACCACAGUAUCAGUGCGCUCACUACCACGAAGCUGUACACUUACAACGGAUAAGAGGGCGAGCUUUGUGUUGUGUAUUUUGCCACAAUUUAGAAGUUUUUUAUGAAUGAAUGAUAAGCAACAGUCAAUUCAUUCAAAAGAAUAUGAUUCAUCAUAAAAAGGAAUGAAGCACAAUGCAUGCUACAACAUAAGCAGAUGUUUAAAACCUUAUGCUAAAGAAAUGCCCAUUCUUGGCAAAUCCAUAGAAACAAAGCAGGUUAAUGUGGGUUGCCAGAGACGAGGGAAGGGUAGGGAUGGAGUUCCUGGUAACAGGUACAGGGUUUCUUUUUCAGAUGAUGAAAUUAUUCUGGAACUGACGAGUGGUGAACGCUGGGCAAUCUUGUGAAGAUACUAAAACCACCGAACUGUACACUUUAAUAUGGGAAUUGUUAUAUAAAAUUUUAUGUUCCAUGAUUUAUGUAACUAUUUUUAAAAUGAGUUAACAUUUGGUAUGUUCCCCUAGAUUCUCUUUAUUAUUUUGACUUCUCUAGAAUUUAAACUUAAUAUUUGGUCAGUGUAUAUUCUUGGAUCAAUGACUUGGUCCCGUUGCCCUUGAAUAGUAUUCAAUAAAUACAUCUUUAUAUUCUCA